GGGCCCGUAGCUCAGUAGGAUUAGAGCGACGGCCUCCUAAGCCGUAGGUCGCGGGUUCGAGUCCCGCCGGGCCCGCCA
rnacentral:tRNA from 1 species